GAAAACAUAGCACAAAAAAACAACACAAAAAGAGAAAACACAAUGGUUAAUGAUGUUGUGUUUUCCCUUUUUGUGUUGUUUUUUUGUGUGUGUUGUGUU